AUGUGUGUGUGGUGUUAACGUGCUGGAGUGUGCACAGCCAGGAGUGUUUGGGGAAUGAAAAUAAAAGGAGUUAUGGAUGUUUAAAAAUGCAUCUUUUGAGAGCUAAGUAUACAAGAAAGUUGGUGUGUUUGGGGAAUGAGUAAACAAUGAAGAAAUGUUUUGAGGAACUGGGUGUGCAGAGGCAGGAGUGUUUGGAGAAUGAGAAUACAGGAAGACAGGAAUGAUUUGGGAAUAAGUGUACAAGAAAGGAGUGUUUGAGUGACAAUAUAUAAGGAAGAGGUGUUUUGAAAAUGAGAGUACAAGGAAUGAGCAUUUUGGGAGUUAAUAUACAAGGAAGCAAGUAUUUAAGGGACUCAAGUAUACAAGAUUAUUUUCCUGUCAUAUGUCAUUAUACAGUGUUUUUCUUUGUUAUAUACAUCAUUCCCUUUCACUUUUCAUAUCUUGUGUUCUCGUCAUUCUGAUGUAAUGUUACAGAUAGAGAAUGUUUGGUGUCAAAUUUUCACUAAUUUCAUAUGUGUAUAAACUUUCAUUUACUUGACUUUUUUUUUACUAUUACUACUAUAUUUGCUUGCUUUUUAAACAAGUCUUUUCUUUCAGAGGAGGGAAGCACAGGGGAGGAGGAGGACGAGGAGGAAGAGAGUGAAGAGUCACAAGAGGAGGAGGAAGGUGGAAAGAAAGAGGAAGGAGAGGAGGAGGAGGAGGAGGAGGAGGAGGAAGAUGGAGAAGGAAAGGAGAAAGAUAAGAAGGAAGGCAAUGUAGAAUGGAGGCGUCCUUGGUUUAUGUUCAGUAAAGCCCCGUAUUCUUGUCAUGGCAAUGUAGAAUGGAGGCGUCCUUGGUUUAUGUUCAGUAAAGCCCUGUAUUCUUGUCAUGGCAAUGUAGAAUGGAGACGUCAUUGGUCACAUACUGUUCUAAUGUAUGUGCACUUGCCACGCUGUUCACCAGGCAAAAGGCGUUGCAGAAAGAGCGCGAGAUCACUGUGUUGUGGGAGAAGACAGAGUCCCUUAGUGGUCAGCUGGUGACGGUCCACAACCACAGCCACUUUGAAGAGAAUGGCCUGAGCCACGACCACCUUGCUCAAAGAAAAUAUCACGUUGACAGAGCUGAUUAAACAACUAGAAGAUAAGCUCAAACUUUCAAAGAUAGAAAUCAAAAACAUCACAAGACAGAAUAGUGAGCUGCAUGCACUUAUCACAGAGUAUAAAGUCACUCCCUCAGAGGAAAAAGACAAGGAUGGCACGUCUUCAUGUGAGAACUCAGAAGCUAAAUGUACAGAUACCAAGGGGAAAUUGCUGGGUCAAGUGGCUACACUGACAUCUGAGGUUAGCAGGUUGGAGAGUGAGUGCAGCAGUCUUCAGGUUCAGCUAGACUGUGAGAGGGAUAAGUAUAACAAACUGCUGGGAGAAUCUCUUGCUCAUGAAAAGUUGUCUGAAGAUGUCAUAACUGAACCAAAAGGAGAAACAACAGGAUUGGGAGGAACUGAGCUUUAACAGAAGCUGCAACAACUGCAGGAGGCUCACAGGGUCCUGGAGAGCAGGUUAACUUGCAGCAUGAAGGAGGUGGCAGAUUAGUGAUUUCUGCUGCAUCUCACACACUUCUUAUUCAAUUGCUUGCAGGAUUUGAUAUCAAAGCUGGUGCAGGAAAAGGAAGCAGAUCAUGACCUUCAGCAGCUCGAGAAGAUAAGCAGCGUCCUUAUAUAUAUGUUAUAUAAAUAUGUUCCUUUCACUAUAAUAUAUUAUAUGUAUUAAAAACUGCAUGGAAUACUACUGUAUUCCAUGCACUUUGUAUUCCAUGUACUCGUAUUCCAGCCACUCAGUCUCCUACUGAGUGGCUGGGGUUUUCCAAAAGUGAGGGUUGGUGUUCUAUACCAUACCAUGUGCCCUGUUUGUAUUCCUUCUCUAUCCUCUGUAUUAUAUUCUAUGUAAAGAUGGUGCUAGGGUGGGAUCUACUUCUUAUUCCCUAAAAGUGAUGAGGAGUGACACUGGGCAGCAUUAAUUUGCUCCUUAGAGAUGGCUGGGUUCCUGUGGAUGAGUGGGCCAUGCUGUGCUUUGUCAAGGAUGGUGUUUGGUAUUGUGAUGACUCUUGCCACAAUCAAGUGUCUCCCACAGAGUAGUGGAGUACCUAUGUAUGGUGUUGACCCAAGCUGUCCAGGUCUCAUCCAAUGCCUUAAUAUGAUUUAGAUGAUCAAAAUGGUUUAACUCACCAUUUAAUCAGCUGACUGAUUUGAAUGGAGAAGUAUGUAAUGUGUUGUAGCCUAACCAUCCCUGCCAGCAUGGUCAGACUCUUGGUAGUAACCUGAAAUGCUCCUAGGUAGUGAGUAUCAUUGCACAUAAUGAUCUUUACUUUGUCAGUAAUUCAAUGAUACUGAAUAUUACUCUACUGGAUUUUGCUCAGCACUGCUUGGUAACUUUUGGCCAUAAUCCCAGGUCUGGAAUGAUAUGAAGCCAUGUUUUUACAUUCCAUAUGAGACAGGCAAGCACUAUGCUUUGCCUGACUGAUACCUGUACUUUGCAUUUAUGACCCCAGGUAGUUCAUCACUCUCUCUCUCUCUCUCUCUCUCUCUCUCUCUCUCUCUCUCUCUCUCUCUCUCUCUCUCUCUCUCUCUCUCUCUCUCUCUCUCUCUCUCUCUCUCUCUCUCUCUCUCUCUCUCUCUCUCUCUCUCUCUCUCUCUCUCUCUCUCUCUCUCUCUCUCUCUCUCUCUCUCUCUCUCUCUCUCUCUCUCUCUGUUUGGAAUUAUACUGUAUAUUAGGAAAUAUCAUUAAAGAGUGUGUGUGUAAAAAGUGUUUGCAUUAUUGUGCAUUUGAUGUUGGUUUCAUGAUUUAUAAAGAUUGCUAUUUUUAAUAAAGUUAUUGAAAUUGUUA